GACGAACGCUGGCGGCGUGCUUAACACAUGCAAGUCGAACGGUGAAGCGCCUCCCUUUUUGGUGGGUGUGGUGGAGUGGCGAACGGGUGAGUAACACGUGAGUAACCUGCCCCCUUCUUCUGGUUAACCGCAUGAAAGUGUGGCUAAUACGGGAUAUUCUGGUUCUGUCGCAUGAUGGGUCUGGGAAAGAUAUUGUUUCGGUGGGGGAUGGGCUCGCGGCCUAUCAGCUUGUUGGUGGGGUGAUGGCCUACCAAGGCGGUGACGGGUAGCCGGCCUGAGAGGGUGGACGGUCACACUGGGACUGAGACACGGCCCAGACUCCGACGGGAGGCAGCAGGGGGGAAUAUUGCACAAUGGGGGCAAGCCUGAUGCAGCGACGCCGCGUGAGGGAUGGAGGCCUUCGGGUUGUGAACCUCUUUCGCCAGUGAAGCAGGCCUGCCUCGUUUGUGGGUGGGUUGACGGUAGCUGGAUAAGAAGCGCCGGCUAACUACGUG
rnacentral:rRNA from 1 species